rnacentral:lncRNA from 1 species
AGCCUCGCCACUGCCCUGCUGUCCGCGGCGGGGCUCGGGAGCCGCUCCGCCCGCCCGCCCGCCUCGCCCGGCCUACCGUAGACACCGUCCUCCAUGGCGGCUAGGAAGGCCCGCGGGGAGUCCGGGGCGGUUCCGCCGGCUGGGCCUGCGUCCGCGUCGGCCCGCGGGCUCGAGUGAGCCCGCUCAAACGCCCCAGGAGCCACCGCCGCCUCCUCAGCGCCCGUCCUCAGCGCCGAAAAGACUCUCCCUUCACGGCCCAACCGCCCGGCCGGUGGGGCCCGCCCCUUGCUUUGACACCACCCAAUCUGCUGCGGGUCUCCCAGAAUGCUCCGCCCCCUAGCCCCACAGGAUCAUUUCCAGGACCAAUAGGCACACAAGAAGGAGAUGCAGGCACGUACAGCUGGCGAUAGACUGCUAGCCUGACCAAUCGGACUGUGGGUAGUGUGCUCGGUCCCGCCCCCGAAACAAAGGAAAAUCCUUGGCAGCUUUAUCCUCCAAUAAGAAAAUUGAUAAAGAAGUGACCAGGAGGUGUGGCUUCAUGGAGAGGGGAGAUUGCGCCUGCGCACAAGCCAGACUAGCGGUACUUAACCCUCCACCCCCCCCCAACAGGCAUUCGUUGUUAGGGGGCGGUGCUUUGUUAGUUUUGUUGUCAAGGGCGGGGUCUCAACCUUGGGUUGCAGCUCGAGCCACACCUCCUGGCCCUCCACGCUAGCUUUUGACCGCAGUGGUUGCCAAGCAACUGCGAGCCACACAGGUCGGUCUUUUUGCCUCCUUUCUCAGGGUAAUUCUCUGCAGGUCGCUAUCUCUGAACCCUUUUCAUACCUCUACAUGAGACUUUCCUACAUACCUCAAAUCUCCUCAGAAUCAAAGGAUGGUAAAUAAAAGCAUUCUUUCUUCC